GGCUGCAAAACAUCUGUGUUCCCAGACAGAAGAAUAGCAGAGGUACUUAGAGCAGUUCCAUUACCCAAAAAAGCUGUCUCUAAGGUCUGUGGCAUUUGACAGACCCCCCUCGGGUUUGAUCUCACCAGAGAAACGGAACAAGCAAAACCUUCCGAAGUAGAAGCUGAAGUUUUAGAAGUACCCACAACGGGACUUGGAAAGACCCACUCCUCACGACUGUAAUUGAAAGAGUGUCCCAACUGAACAGCCAUGACAUUACAAUGCUUCUGGACUACUCCCUACCCUUUUGAUGUCACAUCUCAGAGAACACAGGGAAAAGCAGCAAAGUUGCCUAUAAACAAUCUCAUGACCAAGGCGCAGAUACACAGCUCAGAUGCAGGUCCCUUUACAUUGCCUUUAUAGCAUCAAGACCUGUUUCACAUCAGGCUAAGUUGCACAGCUCACCUAAAGUGAAACAAGAUGGACACCCUUUGAGGCUGCACAGCAACAGGGCUACCUUGGAGCUAGCAGCAGUGAUAGCAGCUGAGGAAAAGCCCUCUUAUCAGCACUGCACAUUGCCUCCACAACAGAUACCGUGGUGGGAUAAGGAGGAUGGAUAGAGCAAGCUGCUACCGUGGAAAAAUAAUAUAUGGUCCUCUACCCUACACUCAGUGAGUUACCUGCUGCCACAACAAACUGGUCAGUGGACAUACAUAAUGCCUCAGUGUUAAUGUCUGAAGGAAAACUUGGUUUUGCUCUGUUCCUUUCUAUAAGACUCUUCGCAAUGAUUUUACCUACUCAAUAGUAAGGUUUUCAUCAUAGGUUUUUAAAAUGUUUUUUCAUCGAAGAACAGCUUUCCCACCUAUCACAUUUUUUUUUAAAUUCAGAUUUUUCUGUCAUCAUACAAUUCAGCAUUAGGAGAUAUGCUAGAAUUUAGCAAUGAAUACCAUAAUCUAGUUCACAUUUUCAAACUCGUAGGAUUUUUCUUCUAGGUACAGUCAACUCUUUUCCAAGAUGAUGGGAGAGGCUCUUGGAACACAAAAGGAAUCUGGGCCAGUAGGAAGAAAAAAAAAAAAAUACUGUCUUUGGUACAAUGUUUUCUGGUAUCCCCUAUUUAGCAUUUGGGAUACCAGAAAACACUGUACCAAAGACAGUUAAUAUUAGCUAAGGUCAGCAGGAAUGACAAAUUCAGAUUCACUACUGGUGCAAGACUUGCUUGCAAAACUACAUCACAGACAAGCUUUCAUGCAUAGAAAAGCAGAUUUUUUUUUUUCCAUUAAAAAAAUCCUAAAAAAAAAUAAAUUGUUUUGAUGAGCUUUUAAUGAUGGUGGUUCCAACAAGGCUUUCUCAGCUCUUCUUCAUGCAGUCCAGUUCUGUUGCGCACUGAGAGAGGAUUUUGUGGCUGUUCAUAGAGCAAGCAAGCUUGUAGGGAAUCAGGAACAAGUGAAAACAAAACAGAAAAACAGUGAUGAUUUUGUUCAAAGCAUAGAUGAGAUGCAAUCAUGUGUUCAUAAUAUUGCAAAAGCUCCAUCCACUUUCUUCAAGGAAAAUUGAGACCAUAGUGACAAUGGUUGGAGCUGGUGCCUAAAACUCAAACCUGGAGGCAGGUUUACUACAGGCAACUACCACACAGGUUAAACCACAACACUUCUGGAAGAGCUGCUUAGAAGCUGAUCAAAAGUUUUUCCAUCUCACUCUGAUGCAAUACUAAGCAGAAUUACCAAAUUCAGCAUCAUUUUCCUCCUCAGGAUUCUACCCCUCUUACGUGGAAAUCCUUAACUGAUUGCAACUUACUCCCCUACAGCUCAUUAAAACACCCUCUCAGAUCAGCAAUGACUGGCUUCAGAGACCUAAGAUUUCGUGAGGACAGACCUUGCUAAUCACACAGGAUUUAUUAGUUGAGCAUUACUUUUUUUAUUAUUUUUUGUAAAUAACUUUACUCACCUGACCAGACCUAUGAAUUGUCCACUCAGGUGCAAAGGGGAAAAAAAAAAAACCAGUCUAUUUGGAUGCAGAACCACAUUCAAGCAAUUUCUUCCUUCUCACUGUUUCUUUUUUGAGUAUGUCAAUAACUGCUCCUAAUAUAUUUUAGUUUUGCUCUUGCUGCAGUUCCUACUGAGAGAGCAGCAGGACUCUGCCUUCUAUUUCUGACCUCACAAUGCAUAUGAAGAGGCUAUCUGAGACAACUGUGAGAAACUUUCAACACUUAUUUCCUUAGUUCAUCCAGUACAUCUGGCUUCUAAAGCAGCGAUUUCAAAAUCCAGGGAAAUCCUACUGGAGAGAAAACCAAUGUUCUUACUUUUCAAGGCUGUUGACUGCUGCUGGUUGGAUUGGGAACGUGCACAAACAAAGGUGUCUCAGAAGAAUAUUGCUCUCUGCUCUGUAAAGCUUUUUGUGCUGACAGAAAAGUUCUAUGGAAUAAAAUGAAAACGGAUUAAAGUGA